rnacentral:pre_miRNA from 1 species
UUAUGCCUGGCUCCCUGUAUGCCACAAGCGCAUCAACCAAUCAUCUUCCCCUAUUCAUUGGUUUGUGCUGGUAGCGUGCGAGGAGCCAAGCAUAA